CAGUCGAACGAAGCACUUUAAUUGAUUUCUUCGGAAUGAAGUUUUUGUGACCGUGGGGCGGACGGGUGAGUAACGCGUGGGUAACCUGCCUCAUAUCAGGGGGAUAACAGUUGGAAACGACUGCUAAUACCGCAUAAGCGCACAGGAUUGCAUGAUCCGGUGUGAAAAACUCCGGUGGUAUGAGAUGGACCCGCGUCUGAUUAGCCAGUUGGCGGGGUAACGACCCACCAAAGCGACGAUCAGUAGCCGACCUGAGAGGGUGACCGGCCACAUUGGGACUGAGACACGGCCCAAACUCCUACGGGAGGCAGCAGUGGGGAAUAUUGCACAAUGGGGGAAACCCUGAUGCAGCGACGCCGCGUGAGCGAAGAAGUAUUUCGGUAUGUAAAGCUCUAUCAGCAGGGAAGAAGAAUGACGGUACCUGACUAAGAAGCACCGGCUAAAUACGUGCCAGCAGCCGCGGUAAUACGUAUGGUGCAAGCGUUAUCCGGAUUUACUGGGUGUAAAGGGAGCGCAGGCGGUACGGCAAGUCUGAUGUGAAAUCCCGGGGCUCAACCCCGGUACUGCAUUGGAAACUGUCGGACUAGAGUGUCGGAGGGGUAAGUGGAAUUCCUAGUGUAGCGGUGAAAUGCGUAGAUAUUAGGAGGAACACCAGUGGCGAAGGCGGCUUACUGGACGAUUACUGACGCUGAGGCUCGAAAGCGUGGGGAGCAAACAGGAUUAGAUACCCUGGUAGUCCACGCC
rnacentral:rRNA from 1 species